AGAGGGCCACCAUCAACUGCAAGUCCAGCCAGAGUGUUUUAUACAGCUCCAACAAUAAGAACUACUUAGCUUGGUACCAGCAGAAACCAGGACAGCCUCCUAAGCUGCUCAUUUACUGGGCAUCUACCCGGGAAUCCGGGGUCCCUGACCGAUUCAGUGGCAGCGGGUCUGGGACAGAUUUCACUCUCACCAUCAGCAGCCUGCAGGCUGAAGAUGUGGCAGUUUAUUACUGUCAGCAAUAUUAUAGUACUCCUCCCAC
rnacentral:lncRNA from 1 species